GACGAACGCUGGCGGCGUGCUUAACACAUGCAAGUCGAACGGAAAGGCCCUGCUUGCAGGGUGCUCGAGUGGCGAACGGGUGAGUAACACGUGGGUGAUCUGCCCCUUACUUUGGGAUAAGCCUGGGAAGCUGGGUCUAAUACUGGAUAGGACCAUGCUGUAGGUGGUGUGGUGGAAAGAUUAGUUUCGGUAAGGGAUGAGCUCGCGGCCUAUCAGCUUGUUGGUGGGGUAAUGGCCUACCAAGGCGUCGACGGGUAGCCGGCCUGAGAGGGUGGACGGCCACAUUGGGACUGAGAUACGGCCCAGACUCCUACGGGAGGCAGCAGUGGGGAAUAUUGCACAAUGGGCGCAAGCCUGAUGCAGCGACGCCGCGUGGGGGAUGACGGCCUUCGGGUUGUAAACUCCUUUCAGCCAUGACGAAGCCCUUGUGGUGACGGUAGUGGUAGAAGAAGCACCGGCUAACUACGU
rnacentral:rRNA from 1 species